GCGGGGCCAGGCCCCGGGACCCGGCUCGUCGCGGGCUGGAGGAGCGGAGGGGGCGCUUGGAGGAGGGCAACCGUGGCAGGAGAGGGGGACGGCUGCGGGCCUGGGGGUUGCUCCGGGCGAGUUGCUCGAGACGCCGCUUCACGUUUAAACGGACCGGAAGAUAUUUAUAGUUUGGCAGAGUUCACUACAUAUUUAAGAUCUGAGCCUGCAAUCUGAUCUGCACAGUCUUUCUAUCUUGCUUCAUUCCUACAUGGAGCUCCAUGAAGGUCAAUGAUCUAGAGGCACUGGAGUCACAAAGGCACUAAAGCCUGCCCACAUGAAGCUUUUUGCAUAAGGUUAAGGCUUUUCCUUCCUGGUUAUUUUUUUAUGUUAGGGACACCAAUAUUAUAAAGCCUCAUUGAUCCCAUUUUUACUGGAGAAACAAGUGGAAUAGGAGCCCCUUUAGCUGUCAGUUGAACAAGUAAGGCUGUUGACUUUUUCACAGUUUUUCUACCAAACUUUUCUUAGGAAUUUGAGUUAAACACAUUAGGGAUUUUUGAUCAGACUGUUUCUUCUCCCUCCAGAUUUUUUAGAUUUAAGAUUUCAGCCUUUGGUAACAUAUCUGCUAGUUUUCCUGUUUCCAUGUGUUGAUGAGUAAGAUUACAAAGAGUAAAAUGGCCCUUUUAUAAGUGGAAAAAUUCUAAACAAAGAGUAGAACAUUUUUCAUUCCUUCUUCAUAAAUCACAAAGAAAUAUGUAUAAGGGAGGAAUGAUAUCUACAGAUAUCUAAAAACAGAGGAAGAAUAAGAAUAAAUGAAAAAUACAUUUAUGCA
rnacentral:lncRNA from 1 species